UCAGAACGUACGCUGGCGGCACGCCUAACACAUGCAAGUCGAACGAAGUAGCAAUACUUAGUGGCAGACGGGUGAGUAACAUGUAGGUAUCUACCCUUUGGCCUGGAAUAACACGAGGAAACUUGUGCUAAUACCGGAUAAGUCUUUACGGAGAAAGCUUUAUGCACCAAUGGAUGAGCCUGCACUUGAUUAGUUUGUUGGUGGGGUAAUGGCCUACCAAGACUGUGAUCAAUAGCUGAUUUGAGAGGAUGAUCAGCCACAUUGGGACUGAGACACGGCCCAAACUCCUACGGGAGGCAGCAGUGGGGAAUCUUGCACAAUGGAGGAAACUCUGAUGCAGCGAUGCCGCGUGAGUGAAGAAGGCCCUUGGGUUGUAAAGCUCUUUCGUCGGGGAAGAAAAUGAC
rnacentral:rRNA from 1 species